rnacentral:pre_miRNA from 1 species
GGGGGGAGCAUAGGAUCCUGGGUUGUGUUCCCCGGUGCCCUGGGUUCCGGGGCCUGUGCCACUGGAAUUGCUCCCAAGGCUGCACAGCCCCCU